GUUGCUGAGAGUCUCGGCUUCAGUGCCAUGCCAGGGAGCGGGGUGACUCCAGGCGCAGCCGCCGUGCUGGCUGCGGGGGAGCCCGCGGGCCAAUUCCUUUGGUUUCCUCCACGCCUUUGUGAUUGUCCUAGUAACUUAACUUCGCCAAAAAUGAAGUUAAGAGGAGGUUCAAGUUGGACAUCAGGAGGAAUUUCCCAGAAAGGGUAGUCAAACAUUGGAAUGGUCUGGCUGGUGGGGUGGUGGAGUCACCAUCCCAGGAGGUGUUCGAGGGAAGGCUGGACAUAGCACUUACUGCCAUAGUCUAGUUGACAAGAUGGUGAUCAGUCACAGCUUGAACCCUAUCGUUUCAGAGGUCUUUUCCAAACCAAUGGAUCUUGUGAUUCUGUAAAGGGGAUAUAUACCUAAUCCUAAAGUGGCAUAAGGAACAGCAAGAUCCCUGGAUGUUGGUCCUGGCUACUGCCAGUUAAUAUGGGCUGACUGAUAGAAUAGUUUUAAAAUCGUUAAUAGAAAACACCACCGUUCACAGUUCUUCUCACAUUUAGUGCUGCACAGUGCUUAUGGUUUUCUCCUAAUAACGCAUGGCCUCAGAAAUUGUGUUCCAGUGAUGUAUUCUAUUCUAAGUAUUUUGGGAUGACUAAAUCACUGGGCUGGAAUUUAUCAGCUGAAUAAGAAUAGUUUAUAAUAACCUGCAGAUUUUCAUAUGCAUAAAAUAUCCAUAACCCUUUCUCCACUUGGUCACUUGUAUUUUUUUUAUCUUUCAUGGAGCCGCGCAGGAUCCAUUUGUAACUUGAGUAUAAAGCAAGUAUCUUAUGUAUUGGUUAAUAUGCAUAGUAAAUGGCAUGGAUAGAUAGGCUGUUGGGCUGAAUAUUAAUAUGCUCACCUCCCACCUCUUCUCCCUCCACAUCACCCCAGGGCUUCCUCCUGGCUGGCAGUGGUCAGUUGCACAGGGAACUGUCAGGCUUAGCUGCUUGUAAAGAAAGGCCAAACCUCAUGACUACAGAAUUUCUGUCUUCCAGCUUUUUAUUUCAGGAUUUUCUACCUGUUCUCUUUGGUGUUUUCCUCAUUAGUCCUUGAAUUGCUAUUAUUGAUGUAACAAUUUCAAUCCCACUUUUUUACUGUUCUUCUCUUGCAUUACUUUAGCCUAUGUAAUGUCUCAGUAAUAGCUCAACAGCAAGUUUUUUUCAGUAAGUUGAGCAAGGGUCUGUGGCUGUGUUAAUAACCUGGCCUGUGCACAUAAUAAAGGAAAAUUUUCCACAAAGAAAAUUAUGAUAGAAGAAUGAAAUUUGGGAGAUUUCAAGAGUGCAUUAUGUGAUCAAAAAUGAACACUCUCACACUUCUGAAACGAGGCUUGUACAUACCUCCCUUUGCUUGCUUCAGUCGAAAAAUGAAAGCCAUCAGUAAGAUCUAGAAAACCAAGAUGAAACUGAUGGGGAAAAGGGCAAAUAUGUUGUAAGUGCUACUUAUCUUAAGACAGAGUAAAAGAAAUGUAUCAAGAAAAUUAAAUACAUACAGGGAAAACUCAGUGCAUCUACCACCCCAUAUGUGUUACUUAAAAAAACAGAAUCCAAAAGUUGUAACUGCCUAUAUUCUCAGGAUUGGGUCUGAAAAAGCUAGAACUGAUUCAAGUCAGUAAUUCUUUAGUGAUGUCCAAACUUCUUCCUCCAAGUCAUUGUAAUAUUUAUAUUUUUCUGUAUUUAUUAUAUAACUAAUAAUUUAGAACGAUUCUAUGUCCUCAGUAGCUCCACUGGUUCAAGUGACACAGUUUUGCUCACAUGGGUGAACAAGCUCAGUCUUAAUUUUCUGGAGUGUAAAGUGAUUUCCUAAGACAUGUUUGGAAAUUGCUAAUUGUUUUAAUAAAACUAAAGGAACCAGUUUUAUUCAUAUAGAAACAUAAAUGCUAUGUGAAGGAAAGGCAAAAGCCUUUGGAAAUGCACCAGAACUACAAUUUCAGAUUUGUCUUAAUAGCAAUUCUAUGUGACAAUAAGCUGAAAGUAACAUUUAAAUGAGAAAUGUGGUUAUUUUAAAUUUUUUUUAUAGUUUAAAGAUGAUGUAAAAAAGUGUUUUGGGAAAGAAGGGCUUUGGCCUGUCUUCCCAAAGUACAAAUUGAAGUGUGUUUGUUCACAAGCCCUACAAAUAAUUACGGGACCACUGGAUUUAAGACUACCAUUAACCCAUCUGAUCAUGCCACACCCAGCUAUUGGGCACAGCCUCUUGUUAAUGGCUUUAGGUGGUCAGGGAAUAAUAGGAUGUAUAUGACUGUUAAUAACCCUAAAUGUCAAAAUGGGUUUUUUGUGCUAAUAUAUUGCUUAUUGACUGCUUAUUGAAUGUGAUCGUGUUAUAAGUCAAUAGUUUAUAAAGAAGGCACCUACUUUUUCAUAAAAGUAUUUGAAUAUUAGAGCAUAUGUAAGUGAGAGUGGCUUGAAAUUUCACUCCAGCCAAGUUAAACCAAACUGCAGUUGUAGAAAGGAACUAAGUUUUACCCCAAAACAGCCUGUGAUCUAAUAGAAAAUAAUUUCCAGCAGCAGCACCCUCCAUCUGUGCCUUACUUGUGGUGUUAUGAAUUUGGCAACACCUCAGCAGUGAGCUACUGUUUAUAAGAAGAGAUCCCAGCAGCUAAAAGAAGCCAGUCAUUGGGAUGACUCACUACUUGCCUUGUGAACUGCUCAAGGGAAUUUCUUGAAGAACUAUGUCAAAAUCAGCUCUAGAAACCAUUAAUUUAAGAUCUUUCAUUGACACAUAACAAGUGCUGCUAGAUUAUUGUUGGUUAAGUUCGUGGGCUUGGAAGGAAGAUUCUUUUUGUCUGUACUGAGUGAAAAUUUUCCCCUUUUGUGCAAGGCAACAAGAGGAUAAAAAGGGCUUUUUUCCUCUCUGCAAGAAGAAAUCUGACGCAGUGUGAACCCAAUCAUCAAGGCACCAUGAACGCCUGCAGGAGGAUACAUUCUCUCCGUGCUCACAGGCAGAAAACCAACGGGAACAAAAGUGAGAACUUGCACACCACCUCUGGGUUCAAGCACCAGCAAGGAGAUGAUCUUGUUACAGUCCAUACCCUUUACACAGUGAUCAUUGUGAUCCUUCUAAUGGCACUUUGGGGAGCCUGGUCAAGAAAGAAUUCAUCCUUAUAGAAGCAAUUUAGCAGCUUUCUUUGUCAAGUAUUUAAAUAAGUAAUUGUGUUGGUUACUCAUACCCAAGAAGUACAAAUAAUGGUCUCCGCGUAUUUCUAUUUACUUGAAACUGCUUAAAUGGUUGCUACUUGUGGAAGUGAAUUUAACAGGCCAUGCACAGACCAUGAUUUGUGAAUGACAGAUGUUUGGCCUGUACAUGUGUAUAUUACCCUCAGCACGUAUAUGAAACUUUGAAGCACAAUAUUCUAGAAAGAAGAGUUCAACUUCUGUUUUAUUGGUCAACAUUUUUUAUGUCCACCCCAGCUUUCCAUUUUUGAGCUUAAACUGUGGAGUCUCUACCUCUGCUAAGAUUGCCUGUCCCAAUCCAUGGUAAAAUAUACACCAAAAGCAGGAAAAUAAUCUGCCAUGUCAUGACAACAUAAAAAAAAAAACCAAUAAAACCGGCUAUCCUGCAGGCAAAGAAGGGUCUCUGAACAUGUGAAAUUCAUCUACAUCGCUGAAGAGACUUUAUACAGGACUUGCAUCCACAUAUUUUUAAUUUAUGGUAAUGACUUUGUAAACUCAGGAAUAAAACCAUGAAAUAA